UUUGAAAUCUGGCUCCCUUUGGGGGUCCGAGUUGUAAUUUGCAGAGGGUGCUUUGGCGUUGGUGGCGGUCUAAGUUCCUUGGAACAGGACAUCGCAGAGGGUGAGAAUCCCGUUUGUGGUCGCCUGCCUUCGCCGUGUAAAGCCCCUUCGACGAGUCGAGUUGUUUGGGAAUGCAGCUCUAAAUGGGAGGUAAAUUUCUUCUAAAGCUAAAUACUGGCCAGAGACCGAUAGCGCACAAGUAGAGUGAUCGAAAGAUGAAAAGCACUUUGGAAAGAGAGUCAAACAGCACGUGAAAUUGUUGAAAGGGAAGCGCUUGCAGCCAGACUUGCCCGUAGUUGCUCACCUAGGCUUUUGCCUGGGGCACUCUUCUGCGGGCAGGCCAGCAUCAGUUUGGGCGGUCGGAUAAAGGCCUCUGUCACGUAUCUUCCUUCGGGUAGACCUUAUAGGGGAGGCGACAUGCGACCAGCCCGGACUGAGGUCCGCGCUUCUGCUAGGAUGCUGGCGUAAUGGCUGUAAGCGGCCCGUCUUGAAACACGGACCAAGGAGUCUAACAUCUAUGCGAGUGUUUGGGUGUAAAGCCCGAGCGCGUAAUGAAAGUGAACGGAGGUGGGAACCCUUUGGGUGCACCAUCGACCGAUCCUGAUGUCUUCGGAUGGAUUUGAGUAAGAGCAUAGCUGUUGGGACCCGAAAGAUGGUGAACUAUGCUUGAAUAGGGUGAAGCCAGAGGAAACUCUGGUGGAGGCUCGCAGCGGUUCUGACGUGCAAAUCGAUCGUCAAAUUUGGGCAUAGGGGCGAAAGACUAAUCGAACUAUCUA
rnacentral:rRNA from 1 species